rnacentral:rRNA from 1 species
GAUGUACGCUAGCGGCAGGCUUAAUACAUGCAAGUCGAGGGGCAGCACAGGUAGCAAUACUGGGUGGCGACCGGCAAACGGGUGCGGAACACGUACACAACUUACCUUAGAGUGGGGGAUAGCCCAGGGAAACUUGGAUUAAUACCCCAUAAAACAGGGGGCCCGCAUGGGCAUAUUGUUAAAGAUUUAUCGCUUUAAGAUGGGUGUGCGUAUGAUUAGGUAGUUGGUAGGGUAAAGGCCUACCAAGCCGACGAUCAUUAACUGGUGUGAGAGCACGACCAGUCACACGGGCACUGAGACACGGGCCCGACUCCUACGGGAGGCAGCAGUAAGGAAUAUUGGUCAAUGGACGGAAGUCUGAACCAGUCAUGCCGCGUGAAGGAUGAAGGUCCUCUGGAUUGUAAACUUCUUUUAUAGGGGGCGAAAAAGGGCCAUUCUUGGUCAACUGACGGUACCCUAUGAAUAAGCACCGGCUAACUCCGUGCCAGCCGCCGCAGUAAUAC